rnacentral:rRNA from 1 species
AGAGUUUGAUCCUGGCUCAGAACGAACGCUGGCGGCAGGCCUAACACAUGCAAGUCGAACGGACCCUUCGGGGUUAGUGGCGCACGGGUGAGUAACGCGUGGGAACGUGCCUUUCAGUACGGGACAACAUCGGGAAACUGGUGCUAAUACCGUAUAAUAUCUCCGGAUCAAAGAUUUAUCGCUGAAGGAUCGGCCCGCGUCUGAUUAGGUAGUUGGUGGGGUAAUGGCCUACCAAGCCUACGAUCAGUAGCUGGUCUGAGAGGAUGAUCAGCCACACUGGGACUGAGACACGGCCCAGACUCCUACGGGAGGCAGCAGUGAGGAAUAUUGGACAAUGGGCGAAAGCCUGAUCCAGCCAUGCCGCGUGAGUGAUGAAGGCCCUAGGGUUGUAAAGCUCUU